rnacentral:rRNA from 1 species
UCCGGUUGAUCCCGCCGGACCUGACUGCUAUCGGAUUGAUACUAAGCCAUGCGAGUCGUUGUAGCAAUACAAGGCAUACGGCUCAGUAACGCGUAGUCAACCUAACCUAUGGACGGGAAUAACCUCGGGAAACUGAGAAUAAUGCCCGAUAGAACAUUAUACCUGGAAUGGUUUAUGUUCCAAAUGAUUUAUCGCCGUAGGAUGGGACUGCGGCCUAUCAGUUUGUUGGUGAGGUAAUGGCCCACCAAGACUAUUACAGGUACGGGCUCUGAGAGGAGUAGCCCGGAGAUGGGUACUGAGACACGGACCCAGGCCCUAUGGGGCGCAGCAGGCGAGAAAACUUUGCAAUGUGCGAAAGCACGACAAGGUUAAUCCGAGUGAUUUCUGCUAAAGAGAUCUUUUGUUAGUCCUAGAAACACUAACGAAUAAGGGGUGGGCAAGUUCUGGUGUCAGCCGCCGCGGUAAAACCAGCACCUCAAGUGGUCAGGAUGAUUAUUGGGCCUAAAGCAUCCGUAGCCGGCUCUGUAAGUUUUCGGUUAAAUCUGUACGCUUAACGUACAGGCCGCCGGGAAUACUGCAAAGCUAGGGAGUGGGAGAAGUAGACGGUACUCGGUAGGAAGUGGUAAAAUGCUUUGAUCUAUCGAUGACCACCUGUGGCGAAGGCGGUCUACUAGAACACGUCCGACGGUGAGGGAUGAAAGCUGGGGGAGCAAACCGGAUUAGAUACCCGGGUAGUCCCAGCUGUAAACUAUGCAAACUCAGUGAUGCAUUGGCUUGUGGCCAAUGCAGUGCUGCAGGGAAGCCGUUAAGUUUGCCGCCUGGGAAGUACGUACGCAAGUAUGAAACUUAAAGGAAUUGGCGGGGGAGCACCACAAGGGGUGAAGCCUGCGGUUCAAUUGGAUUCAACGCCGGA